UGCAGGGUAGAGUAGUGGUUUAUCUCAUCAGGCUCGUAACCUGAAGAGCGUCAGUUCGAUUCUGGCUCCUGCAA
rnacentral:tRNA from 1 species